rnacentral:misc_RNA from 1 species
UCCUCGUUGACCGAGGCAGUCUCGCAUAAAAAAUACAACAUGCGACAAGGGUUGCGCUCGUUGCGGGACUUAACCCAACAUCUCACGACACGAGCUGACGACGACCAUGCAGCACCUGUCAUCCCGUUCCCCUGCUCCGGCUCUAUGGCCAAUGCUCAUAAAGCCGAUGCAGGGGCACAGCUCCCUUUCGGGAGCCUUCGGGAGAUGUCAAGCCCUGGUAAGGUUCUUCGCUUAUCGUCGAAUUAAACCACACGCUCCACCGCUUGUGCGGGUCCCCGUCAAUUCCUUUGAGUUUUAGCCUUGCGGCCGUACUCCCCAGGCGGGGCACUUAACGCGUUAGCUACGACACCCAGAGGAUCUAUGCUCCGAAUGCCUAGUGCCCAUCGUUUACGGCGUGGAC